GCUCAGGACGAACGCUGGCGGCGUGCUUAACACAUGCAAGUCGAACGGGAGAUCACCAAUCAAUCUUUCGAGAGCGAAUGGUGAUACUCUAGUGGCGGACGGGUGAGUAACGCGUGAGCAACUUACCCUUUAGCCUGGGACAACAACGGGAAACCGUUGCUAAUCCCGGAUGAGCAUAUCGAGUAGCAUUACAAGAUAUGCAAAGGAGGCCUCUCUAAAGAAGCUUUCGCUAAAGGAUGGGCUCGCGUCCCAUUAGCUAGUUGGUGAGGUAACGGCUCACCAAUGCAGCGAUGGGUAGCCGGCCUGAGAGGGUGGACGGCCACACUGGGACUGAGACACGGCCCAGACUCCUACGGGAGGCAGCAGUGGGGAAUAUUGCGCAAUGGGGGAAACCCUGACGCAGCGACGCCGCGUGAGCGAUGAAGGCCUUCGGGUCGUAAAGCUCUGUCAUCGGGGAAGAAGUCUUAUGUACUAAUACUGCAUGAGGUGACGGUACCCGAGGAGGAAGCCACGGCUAACUACGUGCCAGCAGCCGCGGUAACACGUAGGUGGCGAGCGUUGUCCGGAAUUACUGGGCGUAAAGGGCGCGUAGGCGGUUAAGUAAGUCAGGAGUGAAAGCCCUAGGCUCAACCUGGGGACUGCUUUUGAAACUGCUUAACUUGAGAGCAGGAGAGGUAAGUGGAAUUCCUAGUGUAGCGGUGAAAUGCGUAGAUAUUAGGAGGAACACCAGUGGCGAGGGCGACUUACUGGCCUGACUCUGACGCUGAGGUGCGAAAGCGUGGGGAGCGAACAGGAUUAGAUACCCUGGUAAUCCACGCCGUAAACGAUGGGUACUAGGUGUUGGGGGGUAGAACCCUUCAGUGCUGCAGCAAACGCA
rnacentral:rRNA from 1 species